rnacentral:rRNA from 1 species
AUGGAAGCACUAGUCCGACUUCUUGACAUGAAGGACGACAAGCUGUACCCAGGUGGAGCUGCACGCUGGAGGAGAAUCUUGGACCCAAGUUUUGCGGAUGAGGUCUUGUAUGACAGCAGGAGCCCUCAAUGGCACAGGAUCAGCUGGAUGUUCAGUAAGAAGAAUCUGAAAUUCAACCUGGAAGAAUGCAAGAAUGUAGGUCAACAAGUGCAAAUGACAGUGUCUCCUUAUUUCUACCAUGCAUUUUGCAACUCAAUAAAAUGGGUAUUAAUUCUCUCAAAAUUUCUUGCCAAUUUUUUUGAGUCAUCAGUUCAUGGUUUAUACUAA